AUUCAUAUUCAAUCUCCGCUGACCUUGUGCUCAAAACGUUUCCCUAAGUACCGGGUUGCCCGAAAAAAGUUACACUGACACUGUUGACUUUAAUGUAACGUAAAAACGAGAACAGCUAUUACACUCAAAUAAGUAUUACUUGCAUUCAGGAAAAACUAACUUAAAUUUUGUAUAUAAUACUUGAAUUGUCGUGCAAAAACCGUGUAACGUUACCUUAAAGUUUCGAUAGUUUUUGUGCGAAUUCACGCGUGUAAAAAAAAUGCGUUCAUGAUUGAUUCUUUAAACAUAUGCAUUAAUAAGUCUUGUUGUAGUUAGAUUCUUAUAUGGACUCGUGAAGCAUCAUCGAAGCAGUUGAGUCAGGUUGAGUAACAAAUUUUUCUUUAUUUCAGGAAACCAACUAUCCUUGUGGUCGAUCAAGCGUGGUUUCAGUCUCAUUAUUCUUGUUGAUUUUAACACUUCUUAGUUCAUUCUGUAAUCUAUGAUUUUUGUGAAAAUUUGUAAAUACCUUCGAUGCGUUUUGGUUGUAAAAUGUUAUAACGCUGUUGCUUAGCAAGUAUAUAAUAUAUAUGUCUACAAUGGAAUGAACAUAAUUUGCUUUGAAUUUUUUGCAAUUUAUUUUUGUAAAGUAUAUGUAUAAUCUUUUAAUUUGAUUGAAUGAUGGCCUAAUUACUGUAAUUAUUAAAAGUUUCCAUAACUGCACACAUGAUGUUGCCGAUUCUGUAACUGCACACAUGAUGUUGGUCAUAUGAAUAUUAGUCAUAUUUAUCACGUUUUUCUGAGACCGAGAGAAAUAUGCAAACAAUUUUUACAAUUAUUCUUCAAAUAAAG